rnacentral:rRNA from 1 species
AGCGCGGGGCAACCUGGCGGCGAGUGGCGAACGGGUGAGUAAUAUAUCGGAACGUACCCAAGAGUGGGGGAUAACGUAGCGAAAGUUACGCUAAUACCGCAUACGAUCUAAGGAUGAAAGCAGGGGACCGCAAGGCCUUGUGCUCCUGGAGCGGCCGAUAUCUGAUUAGCUAGUUGGUAGGGUAAAGGCCUACCAAGGCGACGAUCAGUAGCUGGUCUGAGAGGACGACCAGCCACACUGGAACUGAGACACGGUCCAGACUCCUACGGGAGGCAGCAGUGGGGAAUUUUGGACAAUGGGCGCAAGCCUGAUCCAGCAAUGCCGCGUGAGUGAAGAAGGCCUUCGGGUUGUAAAGCUCUUUUGUCAGGGAAGAAACGGUGGAGGCUAAUAUCCUUUGCUAAUGACGGUACCUGAAGAAUAAGCACCGGCUAACUACGUGCCAGCAGCCGCGGUAAUACGUAGGGUGCAAGCGUUAAUCGGAAUUACUGGGCGUAAAGCGUGCGCAGGCGGUUUUGUAAGUCUGUCGUGAAAGCCCCGGGCUCAACCUGGGAAUUGCGAUGGAGACUGCAAGGCUUGAAUCUGGCAGAGGGGGGUAGAAUUCCACGUGUAGCAGUGAAAUGCGUAGAGAUGUGGAGGAACACCGAUGGCGAAGGCAGCCCCCUGGGUCAAGAUUGACGCUCAUGCACGAAAGCGUGGGGAGCAAACAGGAUUAGAUACCCUGGUAGUCCACGCCCUAAACGAUGUCUACUAGUUGUCGGGUUUUAAUUAACUUGGUAACGCAGCUAACGCGUGAAGUAGACCGCCUGGGGAGUACGGUCGCAAGAUUAAAACUCAAAGGAAUUGACGGGGAC